UUCUGGAUAUGACUUUGUAAACCAUGAUCACUUUAAGCUUAUAGAGAUCUGCCUGUCUUUGCUUUCAAGGUGCAUCACCGACCUGGCACUCUUAUUUAUACAAUAAGAAAACUAUGUUGUUUCAGAGUAAGGACAUAUACAAAUGAAGAAGAAUCAAGAGACCCUCAGUGACAUGCAUUUUGGAUUAUCUGACUUUGCUAUGAAGGGCUGGAGUUAUUUUGUCAACAUGACACAGGCUAGAGUCAUCUGAUAGAAGGAAAUCCCAAUGGAGAAAAUGCCUCCGUAAGGUAAGCCUGUAGUAUAUUUCUUUAAUUAGUGGAUGGUGGAGGAAGGCCACCGGUACCCCAGUGGUACCACCACUAGGUUGGUGAUCGUGGGUGCUAUAAGAAAGCCAUGAAGAACAAGCCACUGAGCAGCACUGAUCCAUGUCCUCUACAUCAGCUUCUGCCUCCAGGUUUCUGCCCUGCUUGAGUUCCUGUCCUGACUUCCUUCAGUGAUGAACAGUGAUGUGGAAGCAUAAGCUAAGUAAACCCUUUUUUCCCCAAGUAGCUUUGGUCAUGGUGUUUCAUCACAUCAAUAGUAACCCUAACUAAGACAGCUGGGGAGAUUCCUUCAAACGACACAGCAGGUAAAUGUGGAAGAAUUCACUCUUUCAUCUAUCUGAUCAGAGUAUCUCAGAAUGUUGUUCCAGGGUGUAUGUGCCUUCAUAGGUCCCACUACACUAUCAGAAAUACCUGCUUACAAUCUAUUAAUGAGUACACUAAGAACUGCUUUGCUAUUUUCCAACAGGUAGAACACAUGGAUUAUAUCCAAAUUAGGACAUGAAAGAUGACCAAGUCCAAACUAGUAAGGAAGCCAGACAACUAAUACCGAUUGGAACCAGUAUUGGCAACAUGGCUUAUGAGAUGCUGUACUUACACCAUGCCUCUCAGGUGCUCAGCCUACUGAGUAUUGAGGUACAUGAAGAUAACCCUAAUACUUGAGAAGUGGAGUUAGAAGAAUUUCAGGACUUCAAGGUAUCCACCAGCCCUCCUCCCAUCAGGGUCUUCCCAUGUCAACAGCCUACAAAGAUGCCCUGUUCCUUGGGAAGCAACAGUGAAGAGAAUGGCUGUCUCUGCCCAUUGUUCUGGAUUAGAACCUUCUUCCGUGGCCUCAUGAGGUUCGUGCAUUUGGGACUCAGGCUCUCCUGCUGGGAAUGAAAACACUCACAAUUUAGUAUCACAAAACAAAACACAUUCUAAGCCCUUAAUCCCAGCAUCCUAAUUACAAGAAUGGCCAGUGGCUUUUCCAUACUCGUGUGGAAGAUCCGUUCUUCAUGGCUUCUCACAUGUCUGGAGCCAAGGUUGGGAUCGCUGAAAGGUUUAGAAGAUCCUGGAAAUGAGUUUGUCAAGAUCAUCCUGACGACUUCAGAAGAAUGUAUCAGCACCUUGGCUGACCCUGCCAGUCCCCUGAUAUUUGGAAGAGAGAAUGGGGACUUUCUUUUUCUCUUUUGGAUGGUCUUCUUCAAUGUUAGGACCCAGUUCAGAAAAUUUCCUAGACUACCACAUCUAAUUUUUUUUAAGUUACUAA